GACGAACGCUAGCGACGUGCCUAAGAAAUGCAAGUCGAGCGAGGUUAGAGAGCUUGCUCUCGAAGCCUAGCGGCGAACGGUCGCGUAACACGUAAGCAACCUGCCCCAAAGUGGGGGAUAGCCCUCCGAAAGGAGGAUUAAUACCGCAUGUGGAUGUAUGAUCGCAUGUUCGUGCAUCUAAAGCAGCGAUGCGCUUUGGGAUGGGCUUGCGGCCUAUCAGCUAGUUGGUGGGGUAACGGCCUACCAAGGCGACGACGGGUAGCUGGUCUGAGAGGAUGGUCAGCCGGACUGGGACUGAGACACGGCCCAGACUCCUACGGGGGGCAGCAAUUAGGAAUCUUGCGCAAUGGGCGAAAGCCUGACGCAGCGACGUCGCGUGACCGAUGAAGUCUUUCGGGAUGUAAACUCCUUUUCUCAGGGAAAAGGAUGAUGGUACCUGAGGAAUAAGCCCCGGCUAACUACGUGCCAGCAGCCGCGGUAAUACGUCUA
rnacentral:rRNA from 1 species